UAUGACUGCUGAAUGGAGAGAUGAGUGGUC
rnacentral:piRNA from 1 species